rnacentral:lncRNA from 1 species
CCAAAGGGAUAGCGCCCCGGGUUGUAAUCACCAUCUGGCCCGCCGCUCCUGCCGCCGCGAGUCUACAGCGGAGCUAUUGGGUGGACCAAGCGGGUGAGGCGCGGGCAGGCAGCGGCUCCGCCUCGUAAUCCUCCUCCGACCGGUGCCCAGGGGCUGGCCCCACCUUUCCCUCGGUCACCCACCAACGCCGCUCCCUCGAUCCCCAGCACCCCUCCAGGCCCAGUUCGCUUCAGAGGCGCGAGACCCGGAAAACAAGGAAGAAGCGAGCUCAGCCUCAAUCCCCGUCCCCACCCCACUUUCGGGGCCGCUGCGCUGGAGAAUUGAAGGGGGCGGACCCCGGAUUAAAGCCGCUCCCUUCCCAGCCUCGCUCCUCUUUCCUUCUGUCCGUGAUGAUUUCUUUAUUGUCAGGCGAGAGCCAGGCUCCCCGCGCUCACGGGACCGGGCGGUUGGGAGCGGGUUCUGGAGCUCACGCCUGGCGUCGGCGGAGGUGACCCCAGCGCCCUCGCCCGUGCAGGGGAAACAGCUGGUUCCCGCCCGGAUGGGGAAACCUGGACUGCGUGGGCUCGGGCGCCUGGCAGGCAUGCGGGGCCUCUAAGGCUUGGCCACUGUCACGGGUCCUGUGGUUGUUGCUUCUCCCCUCGCCACGCCCUUCUCCUGGGACGGAGAUUCAUUCCCUGGCGGGUGUCGGGGACCUGGGCGCAGAUUCAUUCCCUGGUGGGUGUCGGGGACCUGGCGCUCUUGCAGGGACGCCCCCCGGAGUCUGAUACGUGGACUUUAAGAUCAGACGCUUCGGGGCCGGGCUGGGAAAAACUGGCGGAAAAUAUUACAACUCUACUCUCAAUGCCAGGCUGUUGUAGAAGCUCCUGGGACAAGCCGUGAAGUCUCCGCAGGAGGCUUCAGAGAUAUACUAGGCGGCUGCUCAGUUCGCCAAGGACUUUUCCAUUGACUCACAAGCGCCGCCUGGAGGAGGAGGCCGCGCUGGACGCGCCGGCGGCGCCUUUGCCUGGGGGAGCGCAGCCCGGAGCUGUGGCGUGGCCGCGCUGGGAGCGGCGUGUCAGAGGCUGGGCCUGGGGACCCGAGGUUGGGCGGGGCGCAGGAGGUGGGCUCAGGGCUCUCCAGAGCACUCCCCUGAGCUGACCCGCAGGACUGCCGGGCCAGUAGGCACGGGGCCCGCGCGGUGACCUGCGGCCUCGAGGCUGGAGCAGCCACUGCAAACGCCGCGCUGGCCCCAAACACUGCGUCCUUGAAAUGUUUUAAUUAAGAAUAAUUAAUAGGGCCGGGAGUGGAGGCUCAAGCCUGAAUCCCCAGCACCUGGCGAGGCCGAGGAGGGAGGAUCCCUUGAGCCCAGAGGUUCAAGACUAGCCUGGGCAACACAGUCAGACUCCAUCCCUACAAAACAAACAAACGAAAAUAAAACAAACGAAACGAAAUGAAAUUAGCCCGGCGUGGUGGCGCGGGCCUGUGGUCCCAGCUCCUCGGGAGGCUGAAGCAGGAAGAUGGCUUGCGACCGCACCACUGCGCUCCAGCCUGGGAGACAGAGCAAGACCCUGUCUCGAAAAAUGUGUAUGUCUGGGUAAAUGUAUAGAUUUUAAAACUAUUUUGAAGGCGGCCUUUUUAACUCUAAACUGACCACUCUGGAGGAGACGCCUGACCCAGAGCGCUUUCCCUAAAGUUCGGUGCCCAAAGUGCACCUUCCCAUGGUUGGGGUCUCUGCCUUUCGCCAAGCCUUGCCUCUUGCAGAGGUGGGCUCCAUAGUGUCUCCCGCUCCGCCCCAACUGGAGAACAGUGUAAAUUGUCGGCCGGGCGCGGGACCUCAUGCCUGUAAUACCAGCACUUUGGGUGGCUGAGGCGGGCAGAUCGCUUGAGGUCAGGAGGUCGACACCAACCUGCCUAAACAUGGUGAAACCCCGUCUCUACUAAAACUACAAAAAUUAGCCGGGCGUGGUGGCGGGCGCCUGUAAUCCCAGCUACUCAGGAGUCUGAGGCAGCAGAAUUGCUUGAAUCCGGGAGGCGGAGGUUGUAGUGAGCCGAGAUCGCGCCACCGCACUCCAGCCUGGGCAACAAGAGUGAGACCGCGUCUUAAAAAAAAAAAAAAAAAAAAAAGAAUUGUCAACCAGAGGGAGCGGCAAUUCAGAAGCACGCUGAAGCCAAGUCCUCAAGACUAGAAAGCAUGAAGCAGGGGAGGCGUUUUGAAAGCUUAAGGACAAAAGACCAUGGGCCUGGAUGGCUGAUUCCGGGAUCGGCAUCGUAAUUUGUUGAGAAGGAGGCCGUGCUGUGCUGCCAGUUAUUAAUGGGUUUAAUCGGUUGAUACACAGCCCUACUGGCCUAACCAGUAGCCCAGGGCCCGAGAGGAUUUGCAGGUCGUGUCAGAAUUUGAUUGAAGUUCCUUCCACUUGGCAUAAGGAGACACCAUCAGCCUGAUUGAGAGGGUCAUGGUGAGAUGGAGCCCGCCAAGGUGGCAGCGCUGAGCUGACCACGCCACGGACCAUAGAGUGGGAGCCUUUCCUGCCCCCUUAACCGCAGCUAACAUCAAAAGCACUGGUAUGGGCUGUCUAACUGGAACCUGAGUUGGUCUUUGUAAUUACGAUUCUUUUGGGUUUAUUUUGCCAGUUCAUUAUCCACCCCCCUGAAAUCAGGCCUCCCAAAUUUAGCAGGUGCUGGGGAGGACCCCAGGGAGUGGCUUGUGGGGGCUAGCUGGUGAAACUACCCUUUCCUUUCUGUUCUAUGAGUGUGAUGGUGUUUGAGAAAUAUGGGGCUAUGGUUCAGGCGCACUUCACAUGUGCAAAGAUGGAGAAAGCACUCACCUGCACAUUUAGGCUCAGAAUAUUGAUUGAAACAUUUUGAAAUAUCAAAAAUAAAAUGUUAUUUUUAAAGUUUCUCUGAGAUUUCGCUUAAGUUUUGGUAGAUAUUCUUAAAUUUUAGUGACCUCAGUUUGGGAAUUCAGUAAGCCAAAUAUUGUAUCCUUAUUAUUAGUUAUAUAGAACUAUGCCUUAGACUUUGUUAGAAACUUCUGCUUCAGCUUGACUGACUCAUUUUCCAUUUCUGGUUGUACAAAAUGAACUGACACUUUAAUGCUGUGGCCACCUUUAAAUAAAGUACAAUGUGACAAAAAAAUACAAA